GAAAAUGCUGGGAAAGACAGUUGC
rnacentral:siRNA from 1 species